ACUUGCUUUCUUUGCUGGCGACCGGCGCACGGGUGAGUAACACGUAUCCAACCUACCCUUUACUCGGGGAUAGCCUUUCGAAAGAAAGAUUAAUACCCGAUAGCAUAAUGAUUCCGCAUGGUUUCAUUAUUAAAGGAUUCCGGUAAAGGAUGGGGAUGCGUUCCAUUAGGUUGUUGGUGGGGUAACGGCCCACCAAGCCUUCGAUGGAUAGGGGUUCUGAGAGGAAGGUCCUCCACAUUGGAACUGAGACACGGUCCAAACUCCUACGGGAGGCAGCAUG
rnacentral:rRNA from 1 species